rnacentral:rRNA from 1 species
AUAACGUCGCAAGACCAAAGAGGGGGACCUUCGGGCCUCUUGCCAUCAGAUGUGCCCAGAUGGGAUUAGCUAGUACGUGGGGUAACGGCUCACCUAGGCGACGAUCCCUAGCUGGUCUGAGAGGAUGACCAGCCACACUGGAACUGAGACACGGUCCAGACUCCUACGGGAGGCAGCAGUGGGGAAUAUUGCACAAUGGGCGCAAGCCUGAUGCAGCCAUGCCGCGUGUAUGAAGAAGGCCUUCGGGUUGUAAAGUACUUUCAGCGGGGAGGAAGGGAGUAAAGUUAAUACCUUUGCUCAUUGACGUUACCCGCAGAAGAAGCACCGGCUAACUCCGUGCCAGCAGCCGCGGUAAUACGGAGGGUGCAAGCGUUAAUCGGAAUUACUGGGCGUAAAGCGCACGCAGGCGGUUUGUUAAGUCAGAUGUGAAAUCCCCGGGCUCAACCUGGGAACUGCAUCUGAUACUGGCAAGCUUGAGUCUCGUAGAGGGGGGUAGAAUUCCAGGUGUAGCGGUGAAAUGCGUAGAGAUCUGGAGGAAUACCGGUGGCGAAG